AGCAAAUAAGUGGAACUGAAAGGAACGCUUCCAGAGGAAGGAGAAUCGCUCCCUGAACUGUUUUAGAUGUUAGCAGCAGCAAGACACAAACAAUGCAGACACGUUGAGAGUCUCUCUGCAAAGCAAUUUUGCUGUCAGUGCAUCAAAGGGGGCUUUCCGCUGGUGCAGGGAAGCCUCUGGCUUAGCCCCACUGCUACGCUGGUUGGUGCAGAUCUCUGCUUGUCCUGUAGCACCGGGUCUCUUCUCCAUACAGGCAACAAAGAAGGGCAGAAAGAACACCCAAGAACUCCUCAGGAAGCGAGCACAUCCAGCACCAGCACCUUGCAGAGGGAAAGCCAUCUGACAGAUCACCUUCUGUGCCUGCACAAGCCUGGUUCCCAACCCCAAAGCAUCUCACGGGUUACCAAGUGCUGCAGAGAGUGCUGCUCCUACAAAAUCUAUCUUCUCAACUUCCCUGUUUUUCCCUGA
rnacentral:lncRNA from 1 species